rnacentral:lncRNA from 1 species
AAAAACUCACAGUAAAAAUAAUUCAAAUGCAACUUUCAGUAAAAUAGUAUGCUUUAAAAAAACUUCCUGAAGCUCAGUUAAUUUAAAUAUAAUAUCAGGCAUUAGGAUUUUCAAACUGACUACUCAGAAAUAUUAGUUAUUCUUCAAAAGAGAAUUUCCCCAAACAUGCCUUAAAUAAAAUACAGGUUCCCAAUCCUUACCCUCGACCUACUGGAUCAGAUUAUCCAGAGAAGAAAACAGAGGAGUUAAACGUUAAAGAGCACCAAAGGCUCCUCUUGAGAUCUGGUAAGACUGGGAAACACCACACUGAGAAAGGCAAGUUUUUAAUGACAAGGAAAAGUCUGCAAUUAGCAUGGAGAAUAGUAUAAUUCUGAGGAUUCUACAAAUAUUUCUAAAACACUCUGUCCAGUGAUUCAAUUUAGUAACUAGUCAUUGAGCACCUACUCUGGGGGCCACUGGGCAUCUGCUAAUAAGGUGAGUUUGCAGAGGAGGAAAGAGACAUAUACAACUAAGUCUACUGCAGGGCAAUGCACAUCAGCGCCAAGUUCUGCCAGCCAGGUAUCAGAG